rnacentral:rRNA from 1 species
AGAGUUUGAUCAUGGCUCAGAUUGAACGCUGGCGGCAUGCCUUACACAUGCAAGUCGAAGGGUAGAGUUGGUACUUGUUCCUGGGGGCGAGUGGCGAAGGGGUGAGUAAUACAUGGGAACUUACCUUAUCUGGGGGGAUAACCCAACAAAAGCUGUGCUAAUACCCCAUACGCCCUGAGGGGGAAAGCGGGGGAUCGAAAGACCUCGCGCGAUUAGAGCGGCCGAUGCCUGAUUAACUUGUUNNNNNNNNAAAAGCCCACCCAGGGGACCAUCACUAACUGGUCUGAAAAGAAUAUCCCCCACACUGGGACUGAAACACGGCCCAAACUCCUACCGGAGGCAGCAGUAGGGAAUUUUGGACAAUGGGGGAAACCCUGAUCCCACAAUGCCCCGUGAGUGAAUAACGCCUUCGGGUUGUAAAGCUCUUUUGUCAGGGAAGAAAACCGGCUCUAACACAUCCCGGGAAUGACGGUACCUGAAGAAUAAACACCGGCUAACUACGUGCCAGCACCCGCGGUAAUACAUGAGGUGCAAGCGUUAAUCAGAAUUACUGGGCGUAAAGCGUGCGCGCGCGAAUAUACGUCACAGGCGAGAAAUCCCCGGUCAUAACCUGAGAAUGGAGCCUGUGACUGUAUAGCUAGAGUGUGUGAGAGGGAUGGUAGUAUUCCACGUGUAGCAGAGAAGUGCGUAGAUAUGUGGAAGCAUACCUAUGGAGACGCAGUACCCUGGGAUACACUGACUCUCAUGCANAGAGCGUGGAGAGCAAACAAGAUAUAUACUGUGGUGUCCACGCCCUAAACUAUGCUCACUAG